CGCCGCGGUGCGCAUGCUUAUGUAGCCUUGGAUAUCCCGGAUAGUGAAGUGUUGGGCGGUUCAACGGGGGGCAAAAUAAUCUCUGUAAAGCUUAUGUGGAUAAGCAUGAGGCCUUCUCACACCAGUAAUUGCAUUCAUCGUCCCAAGAUACAGUCAAAACAAGGUGUCUAUAGUUCUGGUCCUUGGAGAUAAGCAGAGAGAUGGAGAAUUGCAAAAGUACCAAUCAGUAUGGAGCUCCAAAGGUCUGGAGCCAGAUCUGCCAUGCCAAAGCCAGAAAACUCUUCCCUGCAGGUUUACUCAGCCAGUUAAUUAAAGACAACAGUAAGACAACAGAAUGGCAAGAAACAUGUCUCCACAUUAGGGAAUCUGUAAAAGGACUUUCCGGAUGGAGUUAAACAUGUCGGUUCAUUUUCAACAUCUGUUCCUUGACUGAUUAGCAGAACUGUCUGUCCCCAAGUUUCCUCAUCACAGCCAGGGAGGAACUCGGCUCGUGGAUCAGUCCCCUGGUGAGCCAUGUCUGCAUCAUCAGCAGAGUGCACGCACUUCUACCAUUUGCAGCAGAACUCCUGCUGCUCUGCAUCACUGACUGGCCUUGCUCCUAUUGCCUGGAGCUGGGUUUCUGACCUGAGCGAGGUACACUUCUACACACAGCCUUUCAGCGGAAGAGAUUUUGUGCCCACAAAGAGCCAUAAUGCGUGAGCCAAAUCAUCCUGAUUAGAUCAGAUCAGAUGAAACAAAUGAAAUUGGCCUGAAGGAAGUAAAUAGUGAGAAUUUU